rnacentral:tRNA from 1 species
GCCCCUAUCGUCUAGUGGUUAGGACAUCGGGUUCUCAACUCGAUAACACCGGUUCGACUCCGGUUGGGGGCG